GUCAGGUGUGAUGUUAUCAUCACAUUGCUCUCCAGUGAAACUUCUAUUGACUUGUAGAGAUUAAUGAUAAAGUGGCAUGAUAACAGAAUUCGAAGAUAAGUAGUGUCUACAAAUCUGAAACUGUUUGUGUACAAUGGCUCAGGGAAGGAUGAAUAUUAAUCAUAACUCCGUUGAGAGGGCUUCUGUGUCGGGGUCUAAGGUGCCUAGGCCGCGCCUGAUCAUGGGUCACCCUCACCUAUUUGGGGUCUUCGUCGUAGGGUUCUUCCUCUGGGCAGCUGUCUUCUUUCCUCUUAAAAUGUACAAUGUUAUAAAUUAAUUACUUUUAUCUGCGUAAUAUUACAAUGUCUGAAAAUAAGAUUACACGAGAAUUUUAAAAUCAAUGUAAAGCAAAUAAAAAAUAUUUUAUUAUAAAGACAAAGUACUAAAAAGGACAACAAAAAACAUGGGUGGAGUUAUGGAGAACAGUUGACAAAUUAUAUGUUUUCGCCUAAUUUUUAGAAGAGUAUUUGCUCAAAAAUAAAAUUGAAAUUCUACUUCAAAAUAUAAACUUUAGUUGAACUUUGUAUUCAUGAAGUACCGGUAAUGUGUAUAUGAUGUUAAAUAUAUUUCAUAUGCUUGUUAA